AUGGGGUCUCCCUGUGUUGCUCGGGCUGGUCUGGAACUCCUGGCCUCAAGUGAUCUUCUCACCUCAGCCUCCCAAAGUUCUGGGAUUACAGAACCACCAUGCUCAGCCUGUAUUUGGAGAUAGGGUCUGUAAGAGGUAAUUAAGGUAAACAUGAGGUCAUUAGGGUGGGCCCUAAUCCAAUAUGAUUGGUGUCCUUAUGAGAAGAAGCAAUUAGGACACAGACACACAGAGGGACCGCUGUGGGAGGACACAGGGGGAAGAUGGUAUCGGACAGACAGACACACAGAGGGACCGCUGUGGGAGGACACAGGGGGAAGAUGGUAUCGGACAGACAGACACACAGAGGGACCGCUGUGGGAGGACACAGGGGGAAGAUGGUAUCGGACAGACAGACACACAGAGGGACCGCUGUGGGAGGACACAGGGGGAAGACGGUAUCGGGGCCAAGAGGAAACUCCUCCUUCACCCUCUGAUUGUUCACAGAAAAUCAACUGACAAAAGGUAGGUUAGUAGGAGAAGAAGCACACGGAUUUAUUAAUAUGCAUAGAGGCAGAGCACAGAGUGAUUGCCCACAGUGCAGGGGGUACUGAUACUUACCUACCCCUCUUCUUAGGGGAAAGGAGACGGGAAGGUGCGAAUGAUUUUAGGGGGACAGUACAUGAUUUUUAGGAGAAUUCAAUGGGCGUGAAGAACAUACAAUGGUCUGGGACAAAGUCUGUUGGGCACGCAGAGCAG
rnacentral:lncRNA from 1 species